rnacentral:rRNA from 1 species
AACGAACGCUGGCGGCAUGCCUAACACAUGCAAGUCGAACGAGACCUUCGGGUCUAGUGGCGCACGGGUGCGUAACGCGUGGGAACCUGCCCUUAGGUUCGGAAUAACUCCCCGAAAGGGGUGCUAAUACCGGAUAAUGUCUUCGGACCAAAGAUUUAUCGCCUUUGGAUGGGCCCGCGUUGGAUUAGCUAGUUGGUAGGGUAAAAGCCUACCAAGGCGACGAUCCAUAGCUGGUCUGAGAGGAUGAUCAGCCGCACUGGGACUGAGACACGGCCCAGACUCCUACGGGAGGCAGCAGUGGGGAAUAUUGGACAAUGGGCGAAAGCCUGAUCCAGCAAUGCCGCGUGAGUGAUGAAGGCCUUAGGGUUGUAAAGCUCUUUUACCCGGGAUGAUAAUGACAGGACCGGGAGAAGAAACUCCGGCUAACUCCGU